rnacentral:lncRNA from 1 species
AGAGUGCCCCGGCGUCUUUCUAGCCUCCGCCUCCAGGCGGGUGAGGAGGUGACACCUGAGAAUUCCUCCCUCUCACCCCUGACCCUGCCGGAAAGCGAAACUGAGAUGCGGGCAUUGGGCCCUGGGAAGCGUGGGGAAGGGGAAAGGAGAAAGCCAGAAAAUGGAGAAAUUAAGUCCUUUCCAUGGAUCAUUCCUUCUGUAAACAGAGAUCACAAAGCAAGAGCUUCAGCAUCCUCGUGAAAAAGACAUUUUGUUCUGGGUGUCAUCAUCUCCUUCCACUACAGCUUGCAAUUGGAACAAGCUUCACAUCCUGGGGGUGCUGCCUAUCUCUGUCUUGAUUUCUGUCUGUCUAUUCCUCCCAUUGACAGGAAUGUCGUUUGUAUCCUCCACGCAGCAGUUUGCAGAAAUCCAGCAAGGUUUAUGGUUUAUGUUGCCCAGCAUGUAUAAACACAACGCUCUCAAAUGCUUUUUAAAAAUCUAUGAAUUUGUUAGAUGUCUUCACAUCCUGGUCCUCCUACCCCAAUUCUCAAACACAAAGUACUCUGUUGCCCUAUUAUAGUCCUGCGAUAGUUCUGGCUAGGAUUAGGUUGACGGUCUAAGCCCCAAGAAAGGCCUGGCAUUUUCAUAGCAGGCUUUCCCCAGUGCUUUGAGUCUUCCUCUCUCACUCCCUUUUUCUUUUUCCCUCGGAGGAGGGGGUGUUGGGGGUGGGAGGUGAUUAGUAAAUGUUUCAGGUAAUCUGUGAAUUCUUAAUAGUCAUAUUUCCGUGGUGGAAGAUCUCCCUAUUUCUCUGAUGUGACAGGUUACAGAAACCUUGGUGUUGGGGGUUUUACAGAUAUUUACAAGUUCUAGGAGUUUGAACUUUGGGUCAAGAUGUUGAUUCCUUUUAAUGUGCGAGGGUGAAGGAGGUUUUAUUUUGCUUUAUUCUUUUGGAUAUUAUGAGAUGAGAUUGUAUCCAGUCUUGGCUGUAACCUAUACCAUAAAUGCAGAGCUGCAACCAUUAUUUCUGUCUCUUUCUCCUUUUAUCACCUACACUUCUAGAGAUAUUACUUUCAGUUUUAUUGCAAAUCAUCUGUGUCUUUAGUUUAAACCAUUAUUUUUCAUAUACCCCAGGCACAUUUCCCUUAUAAUGAGACAAAUUUUAGAUUAUUAAUGUUCCACCUAAAAGGAUACUGUACACUUUUCAUUGCCAAUAUGGGCUUUGAAGCUUAAAUAUCAACAUUUUUAUAGGAAAUUUACCCAUGUCAAAUUUAAAUAUAUUUGCUUAUAUUUCUUGGAAAAAAGAUUUUGGAUAACUAUCAAUUAAGCAGCCAAUUCCAUUUGGGGUGCAGAAAAUUUUGAGCCCCUUGAUAAGAAGGAACAAAAUUUUUCCUCUAAAUAACCAACUCUGGAUCAGAAAAACUGAACUUUUCUAAAUAUUUAUUAUUAACAAAACUUUUUUUUGUCUGAUUCCACUAGAAGCAUUCUAUGUUGUGAACACUAUAAAGUUAUCCUAUGUUGUGAACACCAUAAAGUUAUGAGGGAAAAAAUGUCAAAUCUAAAUUUUAUUUAGAAGUAACAUAUUGUUUUUCUGGACUUGCAAUCCAAUUCGAAUGCAUCGUUAGACUUUUCUGUUUUCUUAUGAUUAAACAACAAUGGCUUAAAAUGAUAGCAAGUCAACUGAAAAGUUGCUUUGGAAUAAAACAAAAGUGGGAAUGCCAACUUUCUUUUCUUCUCUAUAACUUCAUUAACAUGGUUGUAUAGACAUUUGCAUGUAAAAUGUAGCUAACAAAAAUUACACAGAAGUAAAUUUAGUCCUCUAGUGCCUACCUCUAUGGUGAAAUCAGACCAUUUGGCAUAGUUUGAAGUCUUCCAAGAAGCCUGGUUUCCACCUGGAAAAUAAAUUACUAAAUUUGAAUGUGUUACUUAUACUAUGGUGAGUUGUCUAUCUGUUACAUUUUAUUUUAGUGCAUAUACUAGAAAUUGUAUUUAGGGUGUUCUAAAAUUGUCAUCUGUCAAGGUAGAGAAUUAUAAUAA